rnacentral:rRNA from 1 species
GACGAACGCUGGCGGCGUGCUUAACACAUGCAAGUCGAACGGAAAGGCCCUGCUUUUGUGGGGUGCUCGAGUGGCGAACGGGUGAGUAACACGUGAGUAACCUGCCCUUGACUUUGGGAUAACUUCAGGAAACUGGGGCUAAUACCGGAUAGGAGCUCCUGCUGCAUGGUGGGGGUUGGAAAGUUUCGGCGGUUGGGGAUGGACUCGCGGCUUAUCAGCUUGUUGGUGGGGUAGUGGCUUACCAAGGCUUUGACGGGUAGCCGGCCUGAGAGGGUGACCGGCCACAUUGGGACUGAGAUACGGCCCAGACUCCUACGGGAGGCAGCAGUGGGGAAUAUUGCACAAUGGGCGGAAGCCUGAUGCAGCAACGCCGCGUGCGGGAUGACGGCCUUCGGGUUGUAAACCGCUUUCGCCUGUGACGAAGCGUGAGUGACGGUAAUGGGUAAAGAAGCACCGGCUAACUACGUGCCAGCAGCCGCGGUGAUACGUAGGGUGCGAGCGUUGUCCGGAUUUAUUGGGCGUAAAGGGCUCGUAGGUGGUUGAUCGCGUCGGAAGUGUAAUCUUGGGGCUUAACCCUGAGCGUGCUUUCGAUACGGGUUGACUUGAGGAAGGUAGGGGAGAAUGGAAUUCCUGGUGGAGCGGUGGAAUGCGCAGAUAUCAGGAGGAACACCAGUGGCGAAGGCGGUUCUCUGGGCCUUUCCUGACGCUGAGGAGCGAAAGCGUGGGGAGCGAACAGGCUUAGAUACCCUGGUAGUCCACGCUGUAAACGGUGGGUACUAGGUGUGGGGUCCAUUCCACGGGUUCCGUGCCGUAGCUAACGCUUUAAGUACCCCGCCUGGGGAGUACGGCCGCAAGGCUAAAACUCAAAGGAAUUGACGGGGCCCCGCACAAGCGGCGGAGCAUGCGGAUUAAUUCGAUGCAACGCGUAGAACCUUACCUGGGUUUGACAUGGAUCGGGAGUGCUCAGAGAUGGGUGUGCCUCUUUUGGGGUCGGUUCACAGGUGGUGCAUGGCUGUCGUCAGCUCGUGUCGUGAGAUGUUGGGUUAAGUCCCGCAACGAGCGCAACCCUUGUUCACUGCUGCCAGCACGUUAUGGUGGGGACUCAGUGGAGACCGCCGGGGUCAACUCGGAGGAAGGUGGGGAUGACGUCAAGUCAUCAUGCCCUUUAUGUCCAGGGCUUCACGCAUGCUACAAUGGCUGGUACAGAGAGUGGCGAGCCUGUGAGGGUGAGCGAAUCUCGGAAAGCCGGUCUCAGUUCGGAUUGGGGUCUGCAACUCGACCUCAUGAAGUCGGAGUCGCUAGUAAUCGCAGAUCAGCAACGCUGCGGUGAAUAAAUUCCCGGGGCU